AUGAUAUACGCAACCCAUGUCCCCAAAAGGGAGCGGAAGCAUGCGUUAAGGGACGUAUACGCGGUAGAGCCAGUCGCCCCAAAGUUCAACCCAUGGUCCUCCUGCCCGAUCACCUUUGAUCGAAGGGACCAUCCCACUAGCAUCCGUCAUGGCGGAUUCGCCGCCUUGGUUCUAGACCCAAUUAUUGACGGAUUUCAUCUCACUAGAGUCCUCAUGGACAGCGGCAGCAGCCUGAACCUGCUUUACCAGGAUACAGUGCGGAAAAUGGGCAUAGAUCCCUCGAGGAUUAAGCCCACCAAAACGACCUUUAAAGGCGUAAUACCGGGUGUAGAGGCCAAAUGUACAGGCUCAGUCACACUUGAAGUGGUCUUCGGAUCUCCGGAUAAUUUCUGA
rnacentral:rRNA from 1 species